GAUGAACGCUGGCGGCGUGCCUAAUACAUGCAAGUCGAGCGAACAGACGAGGAGCUUGCUCCUCUGACGUUAGCGGCGGACGGGUGAGUAACACGUGGAUACCCUCCCUAUCAGACUGGUAUAACUUCGGGAAACCGGCGCUAAUACCGGAUAAUAUCUUGAACCGCAUGGUUCAAUAGUGAAAGACGGUUUUGCUGUCACUUAUAGCUGGUUCCGGGCCGUAUUAGCUGGUUGGUAAGGUAACAGCUUACCAAGGCAACGAUGCGUGGCCGACCGGAGGGGGGGAUCGGCCACAUGGGAAGGGAGACGCGGUCCAGACGACUGAGGGAGGCAGCAGUAGGGAAUCGUCGGCAAAGGGGGAAAGCCUGACGGAACAACGGCGCGUCUGUGAUGAAGGCCCCCGGAGCGGAAAACUCUGUUACUAGGUAAGAACAAAUGUCUAAGUAAAUAUGCACGGCGUGACGGUACCUAAUCAGAAAGCCACGGCUAACUACGUG
rnacentral:rRNA from 1 species